UACGUAGGGUGCAAGCGUUGUCCGGAAUUAUUGGGCGUAAAGAGCUCGUAGGCGGUCUGUUGCGUCGGCUGUGAAAACCCGGGGCUCAACUCCGGGCCUGCAGCCGAUACGGGCAGACUAGAGUGUGGUAGGGGAGACUGGAAUUCCUGGUGUAGCGGUGGAAUGCGCAGAUAUCAGGAGGAACACCGAUGGCGAAGGCAGGUCUCUGGGCCACUACUGACGCUGAGAAGCGAAAGCAUGGGGAGCGAACAGG
rnacentral:rRNA from 1 species